rnacentral:rRNA from 1 species
UAGGGAAUAUUGCUCAAUGGGGGAAACCCUGAAGCAGCAACGCCGCGUGGAGGAUGAAGGUUUUCGGAUUGUAAACUCCUUUUGUUAGAGAAGAUAAUGACGGUAUCUAACGAAUAAGCACCGGCUAACUCCGUGCCAGCAGCCGCGGUAAUACGGAGGGUGCAAGCGUUACUCGGAAUCACUGGGCGUAAAGAGCGCGUAGGCGGGAUAAUAAGUCAGAUGUGAAAUCCUAUGGCUUAACCAUAGAACUGCAUUUGAAACUAUUAUUCUAGAGUAUGGGAGAGGUAGGUGGAAUUCUUGGUGUAGGGGUAAAAUCCGUAGAGAUCAAGAGGAAUACUCAUUGCGAAGGCGACCUGCUAGAACAUAACUGACGCUGAUGCGCGAAAGCGUGGGGAGCAAACAGG